rnacentral:ribozyme from 12 species
UACACUGUUUCCGGUUUUUUUUUUUUUUAUCUUUUAACUAUUUUUUUUUAUGGAUUCACG